CCCAAAUGGCCCUGGGUAGUCAUUUACGCUCUACAUUUACCUCUAACCUCCUUCCCAGGGCGACAGUCAACGUACAUCCAUCUCUGAAAGUUUAGCCACAAAGGGAUUAAGUUCUACGUUCAGGACAGAACAUCCUCCUUCAGAACCUGAAGCUAUGACUCCCCCUUCCCUAACAGAGGAGCCCGUGCGUCCUAGCUAGAACCAGCCGUUUGGCGCCACCUGCUGGACACAAGCAGUCACAGGUUGGGGGAAAUUCGGUCAUGCUUAAGGAAUCAAGUGCCCACUGAUGCUCAUCCCUGGGACGGUUCUGAAGAAGUGUUCCCACUGGAUUGAUGCUCUAUAUCCCUUUAUGACAAAUCUCCCCAACCUUUAAUAAAUAUCUCAAAAGCGAAGGGUCUUUCCUACUACAUCCUAUUCCCUCUGCAGUUUCAUAAAGCGCCUAUGUUUUAUUUAGUCAAGCAAGUCACGAGAACGAAGGAGCCCCACAACAAAACCAUCAACAAAUAGAGGGCAGAAGCCACAUUUCCUCUGUCACUGUAUCCUUAGAACUGGCACGUGGUAGCAGCUCUGGAAUUUAUUUUGUUUUGUUUUCGUGGCUUUUGAAUAAGACAGUAAGUAAGUAUCAUCUGAGGUGGGUAAAUCUGACAUACAGAAGUCUUUCUUUGAAGACAGAGUUUUCUAGACUACUCUGCCUGGGUGGCUCCUAAAAAGCUCCUAACCAGGAA